AUUCAACUGACUAGUCCCAAAUUGGACGAAAUGCGCGUCCCGAAU
rfam:Schistosoma haematobium scaffold200_13, whole genome shotgun sequence.